GCCGGAGGAGGCAAUCGGGGCCGUCAAUCAUAUGCAACUGCGCUCCCAUCGUGAGCCACCGUGUUACGGGCCGUCCGAUGGAUGAGGCGCGGUGUCUGCAGGCACCACGGCCAGCUUGUAUCUGAGGCUGGGACUGGCCCUUUUCUCCUCCGCCUCCUUUCUCUUUAUGUCCAUCUGCGUCGAGUUCUACAGCCAGGCCGCCGCCUUCUGGUGAUCCUCCAUCUCUUUUUUAUUUGAUCAAAUUUGGUGUAUUUUGUCUUAAUUUCGCUAUAAUUUCAUAUGUUCAUGUGCCACAAGCUGCAAGAAAAUUUGGUUUGGAAGGCU
rnacentral:lncRNA from 1 species